rnacentral:rRNA from 1 species
AUUGAACGCUGGCGGCAUGCCUUACACAUGCAAGUCGAACGGUAACAGGUCUUCGGAUGCUGACGAGUGGCGAACGGGUGAGUAAUACAUCGGAACGUGCCCGAUCGUGGGGGAUAACGAAGCGAAAGCUUUGCUAAUACCGCAUAAGAUCUACGGAUGAAAGCAGGGGACCGCAAGGCCUUGCGCGAACGGAGCGGCCGAUGGCAGAUUAGGUAGUUGGUGGGAUAAAAGCUUACCAAGCCGACGAUCUGUAGCUGGUCUGAGAGUACGACCAGCCACACUGGGACUGAGACACGGCCCAGACUCCUACGGGAGGCAGCAGUGGGGAAUUUUGGACAAUGGGCGAAAGCCUGAUCCAGCCAUGCCGCGUGCAGGAUGAAGGCCUUCGGGUUGUAAACUGCUUUUGUACGGAACGAAAAGACUCUGGUUAAUACCUGGGGUCCAUGACGGUACCGUAAGAAUAAGCACCGGCUAACUACGUG